CAAAGAAUAGUUUAACUAAGAAUCCUGGCUUUGGGAGUCAGGGGUGG
rnacentral:tRNA from 2 species